GCAGUCGAGGGGUAACAGGGGAGCUUGCUUCCGCUGACGACCGGCGCACGGGUGCGUAACGCGUAUACAAUCUACCUUUUGCUGUGGGAUAGCCUUUGGAAACGAAGAUUAAUACCGCAUAGUAUGCAGACUUCUCAUGAAGAUUGCAUUAAAGGUUACGGCAAAAGAUGAGUAUGCGUCCUAUUAGCUAGUUGGUGUGGUAACGGCACACCAAGGCCACGAUAGGUAGGGGCCCUGAGAGGGGGAUCCCCCACACUGGUACUGAGACACGGACCAGACUCCUACGGGAGGCAGCAGUGAGGAAUAUUGGACAAUGGAGGCAACUCUGAUCCAGCCAUGCCGCGUGCAGGAAGACUGCCCUAUGGGUUGUAAACUGCUUUUAUACGGGAAGAAACACUGCUACGUGUAGCAGCUUGACGGUACCGUAAGAAUAAGGAUCGGCUAACUCCGUGCCAGCAGCCGCGGUAAUACGGAGGAUCCAAGCGUUAUCCGGAAUCAUUGGGUUUAAAGGGUCCGUAGGUGGAUGAUUAAGUCAGAGGUGAAAGUCUGCAGCUCAACUGUAGAAUUGCCUUUGAUACUGGUUAUCUUGAAUUAUUAUGAAGUAGUUAGAAUAUGUAGUGUAGCGGUGAAAUGCAUAGAUAUUACAUAGAAUACCAAUUGCGAAGGCAGAUUACUAAUAAUCAAUUGACACUGAUGGACGAAAGCGUGGGGAGCGAACAGGAUUAGAUACCCUGGUAGUCCACGCCGUAAACGAUGGAUACUAGCUGUUCGGAUUUAUCUGAGUGGCUAAGCGAAAGUGAUAAGUAUCCCACCUGGGGA
rnacentral:rRNA from 1 species